UAAUACAGGUCGUUGGAAACACACUCCCUG
rnacentral:piRNA from 1 species